rnacentral:rRNA from 1 species
AUUGAACGCUGGCGGCAUGCCUAACACAUGCAAGUCGAGCGGAGCGGCGUACGGGUGAGUAAUGCCUGGGAAUCUGCCUGGUAGUGGGGGAUACCGUCCGGAAACGGGCGCUAAUCCCGCAUACUAUCAGAUGAGCCUCGGUCGGAUUCGCUAGUUGGUCGGGUAAAGGCCUACCAAGGCGACGAUCCGUAACGUGUCUGAGAGGAUGAUCAGUCACCAUGGAACUCAGACACGGUCCAGACUCCUACGGGAGGCAGCAGUGGGGAAUAUUGGACAAUGGGCGAUAGCCUUAUCCAGCCAUGCCGCGUGUGUGAAGAAGGUCUGCGGAGUGUAAAGCCCUUUAAGUUGGGAGGCGGUAUCAACAGAAUAAGCACCGGCUAACUUCGUGCCAGCAGCCGCGGUAAUUC